rnacentral:rRNA from 1 species
UGAUGUUAGCGGCGGACGGGUGAGUAACACGUGGAUAACCUACCUAUAAGACUGGGAUAACUUCGGGAAACCGGAGCUAAUACCGGAUAAUAUUUUGAACCGCAUGGUUCAAAAGUGAAAGACGGUCUUGCUGUCACUUAUAGAUGGAUCCGCGCUGCAUUAGCUAGUUGGUAAGGUAACGGCUUACCAAGGCAACGAUGCAUAGCCGACCUGAGAGGGUGAUCGGCCACACUGGAACUGAGACACGGUCCAGACUCCUACGGGAGGCAGCAGUAGGGAAUCUUCCGCAAUGGGCGAAAGCCUGACGGAGCAACGCCGCGUGAGUGAUGAAGGUCUUCGGAUCGUAAAACUCUGUUAUUAGGGAAGAACAUAUGUGUAAGUAACUGUGCACAUCUUGACGGUACCUAAUCAGAAAGCCACGGCUAACUACGUGCCAGCAGCCGCGGUAAUACGUAGGUGGCAAGCGUUAUCCGGAAUUAUUGGGCGUAAAGCGCGCGUAGGCGGUUUUUUAAGUCUGAUGUGAAAGCCCACGGCUCAACCGUGGAGGGUCAUUGGAAACUGGAAACACUUGAGUGCAGAAGAGGAAAGUGGAAUUCCAUGUGUAGCGGUGAAAUGCGCAGAGAUAUGGAGGAACACCGGUGGCGAAGGCGACUUUCUGGUCUGUAACUGACGCUGAUGUGCGAAAGCGUGGGGAUCAAACAGGAUUAGAUACCUGGUAGUCCACGCCGUAAACGAUGAGUGCUAAGUGUUAUGGGGGUUUCCGCCCCUUAGUGCUGCAGCUAACGCAUUAAGCACUCCGCCUGGGGA